rnacentral:rRNA from 1 species
UACGGAGGGUGCAAGCGUUAAUCGGAAUUACUGGGCGUAAAGCGCACGUAGGCGGAUCGUUAAGUCGGGGGUGAAAUCCUGGAGCUCAACUCCAGAACUGCCUUCGAUACUGGCGAUCUUGAGUCCGGAAGAGGUGAGUGGAACUCCUAGUGUAGAGGUGGAAUUCGUAGAUAUUAGGAAGAACACCAGUGGCGAAGGCGGCUCACUGGUCCGGUACUGACGCUGAGGUGCGAAAGCGUGGGGAGCAAACAGG